UCAUUUUCCCAAGUGGCCAACUGUUUACCAUUUUUUAGCAGAUUUUCUCCUAGUAUAACUACAGAAGGAUGAUAGCCAUAAACUCAUUCCAGUAGUGUUCUGAACAAAUAUCUUCUGGAACUCUUUUUAUGAAAGGAAUAUCUCCUAUAGCAGGAAUUUCUUUAACUAAUUUUACUUCACCAGAAAUGAAUAAUAACCUUGUGAAUGCCUGCAUUAUUAAAGUUGGAACACGGAGCCCCAUCUAUGAAGUUCCAGAGCCGUGUUUCUCUUAAGAAGCUGAUCGUCCAGGGGCAUCUGACCAAAGUGGUAGAAGAAACAAAGCUUUCAAAAG